rnacentral:misc_RNA from 1 species
GAUGAAGAACGUAGUGAAAUGCGAUAAGUAGUGUGAAUUGCAGAAUUCAGUGAAUCAUCGAAUCUUUGAACGCACAUUGCGCCUCCUGGUAUUCCGGGAGGCAUGCCUGUUCGAGCGUCAUUAAAAUCACUCAAGCUUAGGUUUACCUAUUGCUUGGUCUUGGAGAUGGAAGCCAAUUCAUUGGAAUCCUCUUCGAAAUCCAAUGGCGAAGACCCUUGCUCUCCCAAGUGUAGUAAUAACUUAUGUCACUGAAGGAAGCGAGAAAUCUUCCGCCGUAACCCCCAUAUUUUCUAUGAUUGACCUCGGGUCAGGUAGGGAUACCCGCUGAACUUAAGCAUAUCAAUAAGCGGAGGA